CGAAAGCGCAGACAAAUUAUUCGACAUACUCUCCAUAAGCCAUCGCUGAAGGAAACAUGUUCUCUCGAUGAGGAAGUACCAUCUACUAGUGAUGGAGCUGAGCAUGUUGAAGUAUGCACUGGGGAAGCAAACGAUUCGCCAUUUGAAGAAGAACUACAUGCAGUUGGUGAAGAUAUUUGUGAAUCCCAGUCUCCAUGUAAAUCGUGCCAUCGUCUUAAGAAAAAACUUACAUCUUUACAAAAGACUUUAAGCUGUGGAACAGCAAAGACAGCAGUUACAAGACCUAACAGAUGAUGCAGAUCAAAUAUUAAAUAGCUCUGGGAAUAAAAGUACUCGCAAAUGUACUAAAUGCAAAGCUCCAAUGAAAGGACAUCCUCGAGGUCAAUGCUUCACUGAAAAAGAAUAAAUUGAAGUUGGUAGAUGAUAGGGCAGUGGUCAGACAUUGCUUGGAGCCUGUCUGGAAUGGAGAAGUAAGGCACCUCCUUCCCACCACCAGCCUGAGGGUUCACCUUAGGCAAGUGAUAGUACCCUCUAGCCUCCCUAUCUGGGCACUGAUAUACACACCUUUCCUGAUGAUUACAGUAUUAAUAUAACAUUGAAUGUUUAAUGCUCAACAUGCCCUUUGUGGAUGCAGUGCACUCAAGUGUGAAGACCUUAUAAGAUAAGUUCAUGUGGCUUGCUAUUUUCCAUUUU